AGUAGAAUGGCUGGACAUGUGUAUGUCUAAUUUUAUAAGAAACUGCCAGACUAUUUCCAAAAGUAGGUAUUCCAUAUUAUACCUCAACAGCAAU
rnacentral:pre_miRNA from 1 species